CUCCGUAGGUGAACCUGCGGAGGGAUCAUUACACAAAUAUGAAGGCGGGCUGGAACCUCUCGGGGUUACAGCCUCGCUGAAUUAUUCACCCUUGUCUUUUGCGUACUUCUUGUUUCCUUGGUGGGUUCGCCCACCACUAGGACAAACAUAAACCUUUUGUAAUUGCAAUCAGCGUCAGUAACAAAUUAAUAAUUACAACUUUCAACAACGGAUCUCUUGGUUCUGGCAUCGAUGAAGAACGCAGCGAAAUGCGAUAAGUAGUGUGAAUUGCAGAAUUCAGUGAAUCAUCGAAUCUUUGAACGCACAUUGCGCCCUUUGGUAUUCCAAAGGGCAUGCCUGUUCGAGCGUCAUUUGUACCCUCAAGCCUUGCUUGGUGUUGGGCGUCUUGUCUCUAGCUUUGCUGGAGACUCGCCUUAAAGUAAUUGGCAGCCGGCCUACUGGCUUCGGAGCGCAGCACAAGUCGCACUCUCUAUCAGCAAAGGUCUAGCAUCCAUUAAGCCUUUUUUUCAACUUUUGACCUCGGAUCAGGUAGGGAUACCCGCUGAACUUAAGC
rnacentral:rRNA from 1 species